AUACGUAGGUGACAAGCGUUAUCCGGAUUUACUGGGCGUAAAGGGCGUGUAGGCGGUCUUGCAAGUCAGAAGUGAAAUUCCUGAGCUCAACUCGGGCGCUGCUUCUGAAACUGCAGGACUUGAGUGCUGGAGGGGAUAGCGGAAUUCCUAGUGGAGCGGUAAAAUGCGCAGAGAUUAGGAAGAACACCGGUGGCGAAGGCGGCUAUCGGGACAGAAACUGACACUGAGGCGCGAAAGCGUGGGGAGCAAACAGUAUUAGAUGCCCUGGUAGUCCACGCCGUGACCGAUGAAUACUAGGUGUAGGGGGUAUCGACUCCCUCUGUGCCGCAGUUAACACAAUAAGUAUUCCGCCUGGGGAGUACGGCAGCAAGGUUGAAACUCAAAGGAAUUGACGGGG
rnacentral:rRNA from 1 species